rnacentral:tRNA from 1 species
AGGAUAAUAGUUUACUUUCUAAAACAUUUAAUUUGCAUUUAAAAAAACUAAAAUAAUUUAGUUAUCUUA